rnacentral:rRNA from 1 species
UCGGGAAUUUUGCGCAAUGGACGAAAGUCUGACGCAGCAACGCCGCGUGAGGGAUGACGGCCUUCGGGUUGUAAACCUCUUUUGUCAGGGAAGAUCAUGACGGUACCUGACGAAUAAGCCACGGCUAACUACGUGCCAGCAGCCGCGGUAAUACGUAGGUGGCAAGCGUUGUCCGGAUUUACUGGGCGUAAAGAGCGCGCAGGCGGUCGUUCAAGUCGCGUGUGAAAGCCCCCGGCUCAACUGGGGAGGGUCACGCGAUACUGAUCGACUCGAAGGCAGGAGAGGGUAGUGGAAUUCCCGGUGUAGUGGUGAAAUGCGUAGAUAUCGGGAGGAACACCAGUGGCGAAGGCGACUACCUGGCCUGUUCUUGACGCUGAGGCGCGAAAGCUAGGGGGAGCAAACGGGAUUAGAUACCCCGGUAGUCCUAGGCCGUAAACGAUGGACACUAGGUGUUGGUGGUAUCAACCCCGCCAGUGCCGAAGCUAACGCAUUAAGUGU